UUUUCUUUGCACGAGUGAAAUUGAGGUUUAUUAUUUCAUUUUUCACAUUUGCUUCAAGGCUGCCGAGUUUAAUGUCCAAGCUGCACAACAGGGAAUAGUCUACAUAGAUGAAGUUGAUAAGAUAACUAAGAAGGCGGAGAGCAUGAACAUCAGCAGAGAUGUUUCCGGUGAAGGUGUUCAGCAGGCAUUACUGAAAAUGUUGGAAGGGACUGUAAGUAAUGGUCUGGUAACAUUAUAUUCUUUUGGGGAUUAUACGUCACUCACUUUAAGCAUAUGAGUCAUAUGAUUGCCUCUAGGAGAAACUAUUUCUGUUUUUAAACUAUUUGGAUAUAAAUUGAGUUUGAAUUCUCAUGAUCUUCCACUUAUAUGGAGUUGGCUUCUUCAUGUACUAAUAGAAUAUCAGAUAUCCGCAGCAAUGGCUUUCAUAAGGGUGUCUUAAUUUUGCCGUAGAGAAGUAUGGAUGACAUCUUCAAUUCAUAAUGGUGAAGAUGAAGGGAAUGACAAAGUGGUUUUUAGACCACUUAAGGAAUCGGUUGCCGCACUAGCUUUUACUUAUCAGGACUGGGAUUUGCAAAAUUAAAACCAAGCUCAUGGUUUGAUACGCUGAAGAAAUGUUUGGCUGAAUCUCAACGUGUUCUUAAAGCAUUGGGGAUGGAUUAUUUAGAGAAGGCUGCUGAUUAUGAUGCUUUAAAAUGCUUCAGAAAAGCUUAGGGCCUUAAAUCUGCUAUGCAUUCAUGUUCUUGGAACGAAAAAGCUAAGAAAUUGGAUAGAAGACCAAAACAAACAAUUUGAGCAGAAGACAAAGGAAGCUAAAUCAAAGGUUUUUGAUGCUACAGGCAAGGUGGCACCUCUGGCCGUGUCUGAUGCAGCUAUGCUAGCUCCUGAAGAAGUAUUUUCUGGUAAAGGUGACAUCAAAGAAGAAACUGAGCUAACAAAGGCAGAUAGAAAGAGGAGAAGGGCAAAGAAAAAAAGACAGUUUAAAGCUGAGUCUGUCAAACGGAUGGCAGUAAAGACACAGCUAAGCACAUUGAAGAAACCCGAAGAUGUUGCAGGGAACGGGGAGUCAUGAAUGACACUUUGAAAGAAAUGUUUUCUUGCCUUUGCCGUCUAAUGUGAUUCAUGAUGUAGUGUGAAACAAAAGUCAACAUAUUGUUUGUUAUCUUUUUCUUGUCCAGUUUUCUUUUAUUUCACAUAUUUUAUUUGGAUUAUUUUUCUAUUGGCAGGUUGAGCUUGUGUGUCGGGUUCUCUCCUAAGUUAGUUGCUGCAAAUUCAUCAUAGCAGGUCAACUAGUUCAUGAGGACUUGGUGCUAGAACACAUAAUAUGAUAGAUUUUUGUU